rnacentral:rRNA from 1 species
ACCUCGGAUCAGGUAGGAAUACCCGCUGAACUUAAGCAUAUCAUAA